rnacentral:rRNA from 1 species
UGAGGAAUAUUGGUCAAUGGGCGCGAGCCUGAACCAGCCAAGUAGCGUGAAGGAUGAAGGUCCUAUGGAUUGUAAACUUCUUUUAUAGCAGAAUAAAGUGACCCACGUGUGGGUUUUUGUAUGUAUGCUAUGAAUAAGGAUCGGCUAACUACGUGCCAGCAGCCGCGGUAAUACGUAGGGGGCAAGCGUUGUCCGGAUUUACUGGGUGUAAAGGGUGCUCAGGCGGAUUUGUAAGUCAGAGGUGAAAUCUUACAGCUUAACUGUGAAACUGCCUUUGAUACUGCAAGCCUAGAGUAUGGAAGAGAGCGAUGGAAUAUCUGGUGUAGCAGUGAAAUGCGUAGAUAUCAGAUAGAACACCAAUGGCGAAGGCAGUCACUUGGUCCAUUACUGACGCUAAAGCACGAAAGCGUGGGUAGCAAACA